AUACAGAGGGUGCAAGCGUUAAUCGGAAUUACUGGGCGUAAAGCGCGCGUAGGCGGUUUAAUCAGUCGGAUGUGAAAGCCCCGGGCUCAACCUGGGAAUUGCAUUCGAAACUGCAUGACUAGAGUAUGGUAGAGGGAAGUGGAAUUCCAGGUGUAGCGGUGAAAUGCAUAGAUAUCUGGAGGAACAUCAGUGGCGAAGGCGACUUCCUGGACCAAUACUGACGCUGAGGUGCGAAAGCGAGGGGAGCAAACAGGAUUAGAAACCCUAGUAGUCC
rnacentral:rRNA from 1 species